GGGCGUUUAGCUCAGUUGGGAGAGCGCUUCCCUUACAAGGAAGAGGUCGCUGGUUCGAGUCCAGCAACGCCCA
rnacentral:tRNA from 1 species